ACAGAAAACUGAAGCUGUAUGAAGACUAUCUUCUGACUGGAAGUACAAAGAAGCAGGAGGAGAGAGAGAAGGAGCAAGAGAGCUCCAACAGCUGCAGCACGUUUAUUUAUACACUUGGAAGGUCAGUUAAGUCUCCUGAGGAAUUAUCUUGGAACCAUGCACAGCACCUCUUAACCUGGAUGAGAAGUAAGAAGAGGACAUUGUAUCUCUUGUUUAUUGGGUGAUGGAGGACACACGCAUAGUGGGAAGAAAGCCACUAAUCAUGGACUGAAACCUCUACAAACUGCUAAUUAUGAGGAAAUCAGCAGAAAAAUCCCCAAGGAGGAAUGUCUUCAUUAUACCUGACCAGUCCUCCUCAAAGAUGCCAAGGUCAUCAAAAAUGAAGAAAGCCUGACAUACUCCCACAGCACGAGCAGCCUAAAGUGACACACAGUGAAAUGUGACAUGGUUUCCUGGAUAGGAUCCUGGAACAGAAAAAGAAGUCUUGAUUAAAAACCCAAUCUAAAUAAGAGUAUGGACUUUAGUUAAUAAUGAUGGACGGAAAUCUGAAUGAAGCAUGGGCUUCAGUUAAUAAUCAUGUGUCACUAUUGGCUCUUUUAAUUAUAACAACUUCCAUGUUAGUGGAAGAUGUUAAUAGUAGGGGAGAUGGAGGAUGGGGAGUGGCGGGUGGAUGAAACUUUGCCCUAUUUCUUCAAGUUUUCUAUAAAUAAAAGUCCUCUAAAAGAUAAAGUCUACUCAUUAAUUUAAAAAAGAAUAGGAAAAAAAGGAAAUGGGUCUAGGAAAGAAAUGUAGCUGUUAGGACUGCUGAUGGACAAACAAGUCUAAUGAAUGAAGUUCUUAGGCAUUAGAAAUUUCAUAGAAGAGACUGAAUGUGGGAAUUGAUAAAGAUCUGGAAAUACACCUUUGUUGAAUGCCAAAGGUAUU